CCUACGGGACGCUGCAGUCGAGAAUCAUUCACAAUGGGGGAAACCCUGAUGGUGCGACGCCGCGUGGGGGAAUGAAGGUCUUCGGAUUGUGAACCCCUGUCAUGUGGGAGCAAAUUAAAAAGAUAGUACCACAAGAGGAAGAGACGGCUAACUCUGUGCCAGCAGCCGCGGUAAUACAGAGGUCUCAAGCGUUGUUCGGAAUCACUGGGCGUAAAGCGGGCGUAGGCUGUUUCGUAAGUCGUGUGUGAAGGGCGCGGGCGCAACCCGCGGACGGCACAUGAUACUGCGAGACUAGAGUAAUGGAGGGGGAACCGGAAUUCUCGGUGGAGCAGUGAAAUGCGUAGAUAUCGAGAGGAACACUCGUGGCGAAGGCGGGUUCCUGGACAUUAACUGACGCUGAGGCACGAAGGCCAGGGGAGCGAAAGGGAUUAGAUACCCGAGUAGUC
rnacentral:rRNA from 1 species